rnacentral:antisense_RNA from 1 species
AGUGGAAAUGCUAUUUGUAAAACCAUCCUUAGCUCCAGGAUCGUAGAGCUAUCACUGAGACAAUUGCGCAGUGAGUGACAAGAGAGAUAAGCGGAGAAUGUGAGCCAUCUAUGAGACAGAGGACAACUUCAAUAAAAAACACCAGGUCGGCGGAUAAGACCAUGUCACUCACAGGUUUGUGACCUGAGGCCUGAGCACCAAUGAUCCACUCCACAUCAGUGGAGAAUGUUGGAAAGUAAGGACGCUGUGGACAUUUUCUGAAGUUGGAGAAAUGGAAUGGUGGAGAAGCCAGUAUUGGGGUACCAUGAGUGGAGCAGAGUUGACGACAAAUCUCAAUAAAGCUUUUCAACUGUA